rnacentral:rRNA from 1 species
UGGGCAACCUGCCCCUCUCUCUGGGAUAACCCCGGGAAACCGGAGCUAAUACCGGAUACUCCGGCUGGAUCGCAUGGUCCGGCCGGGAAAGGUCCGCCGGAGAGGGAUGGGCCCGCGGCCUAUCAGCUUGUUGGUGGGGUCAUGGCUCACCAAGGCGACGACGGGUAGCUGGUCUGAGAGGAUGACCAGCCACACUGGAACUGAGAUACGGUCCAGACUCCUACGGGAGGCA